GCUGAAAUUUAUAUAUUUUAUUGAAGUUCAUGGGUUGUGAAACGUUUAAUAAUUGGUGAUUUAAUUUUUAUUCCUUUGGAGUGUACAGUGAAUUUUGUUUGAUUUUGUUCAGAAGAAUUGUAUUAUUCUCGCGAGAAUUUGAGCCUUUUAUGUUGGCCGCAGGUGAGCACGGUCUUUUGCUCACGAGGUUGCAAUAAUUAGGAGUUCAAGCUGGGAGAAAGAGCUGCAAAAAGAAAUACCUUGGACUCAAAGAGACUCUUUUACUUGACAAGCGGAAACGAGUUUUCACGGCGUAAUGAAGGCGUAAUGAAGGCGCAAUGAAAGCGAAGGCACGCAAUGUCCCACAAGAAGUGUGAUGACCUGCAGAAGUACAAAUAAACGCCCGUUGUAAACCGACCUGUGUUGUCAUGAGAAGAGUCACAGUGAAAACUCGACUGCUCCACACGGGGAGGAGACAGGAGACUGCAGCGUGAAGCCCGCUAAGCAGAGCCGAGAGGCACGAGGAAGCCGACGCCCAUUUCCUUACCGCAUGCAGGCAAGCAGAUGAAAAGACUGUCGGAAGCGCAGCUGGUCCAUUGAAUCCCAGAAAGUUAAUUUCCAAAAAGUAAA